rnacentral:rRNA from 1 species
UAGGGAAUAUUAGAAAUGGACGAAAGUCUGAUCUAGCAACACCGCGUGUGCGAAGAAGGCCUUCGGGUCGUAAAGCACUUUUUGGAAGGAAUAGGAAGGAAUGUACUUCCAGAAUAAGUCUCGGCUAACUACGUUCCAGCAGCCGCGGUAACACGUAGGAGGCGAACGUUAUCCGGAUUUACUGGGCGUAAAGCGCGUGUAGGUGGUUCUGUAAGUAGGGCGUGAAAGCUCCUGGCUCAACUGGGAGAGGCCGUUCUAAACUACAGAACUAGAGGAUGGUAGAGGGAGGUGGAAUUACAGGUGUAGCGGUGGAAUGCGCAGAUAUCUGGAGGAACACCAGUGGCGAAGGCGGACUCCUGGACCAUUCCUGACACUCAGACGCGAAAGCGUGGGGAGCAAACA